CCUGUCCCUGCCACACUGCCCUCCCCCUCAGUGACCUCCCUCGGCCUCCUGUCCCUGGCCACACUGCUCUUCUUUUGGUUGUUCAGCAGCUGUCUCUGCCUCACCAAGACUUACCAGCCAGGAGGGCUUAGCUUAAGCAUCACCCCUCGGAAGAGGCCUUCUCUAGCCUACAGUCUGAGUUAGUCCCUGGUGUCCCCGCAGCCACGGCUGCACUCGCCCAGACCAGCCUGGAAACGCGUGGAGGGAGGGCCUGGCUCUGGGUGGUCCCCACAGACCCCCAGGGCCAAGGGAGUCACGCCGUCAAUGUGUGCGACGAAGGACCGCCUGAUUUUGGGAUCCAACAGCACCUACCUGUACAUGGGAUUUCCUUCGGAGCGGGGCAGUGAGGACCUGAGCAGGUUCGAUUACAACUUCUUCCAGCUGGAGAGGGCAGCCGCGGAGGGAGUCAGUGCAGACAAACUUGCCCUCAGCAAUAUCCCAGGCUGGCCGCCCGCCUCUGCCUGUCUCUGCUGGGGCUUUCACAAGCCCUCCUGCUCCUCUUCCCGGCCCCGAUUCACCGUGCUCCGGGUGGUUCCCCCAGAAUCCAGGUGCUGCGGACGGUGGAGACAGCAAGGCAGACCCCAGUGUCCUGGCUGCGUUCCAGGACUAAUCAAACGGAUGCCACUGGUUGCAGAAGCAAAUCAAAUGAGUGAAGAGCUGAAGAAGGGACUUAACAUGGAAUUGAAGGUGAAGAAUUUGGCAUCAUCAGAUUCCAAGGGCUAUGACCUACAGAAGGAGGUCUUGGUGAAGGUGACCCACCACGGGACUCAUGAGGUGCUCCAGAAAAGGCCGUUUCACCAGCUCCACUGGCUGAUCCACUGGACCUUACUGUCAGGAAGCAAAGGCCACUGGCGCAAAGUGGCUCUGGUGCCCCGAUAUUCCACGUGCCUCUUUCCGGCCAGGCUUUCCCCUAGAAUUUGGCUUGGCAGUUUCCUGUCUCGUCAGACCUUGUUUUAAUAAAAUUUGUAAUUCUAAAAAAUCCUUUUCUAUGCUAUUCUAUUUUGUAUUAUAGUCUAAGAUAGUUCGGAAAAUAGCCUUUUAAAUUAUUGCUAGCAGAAGGGUUACUGAGUGCACAUGAAGGCACUCGUGAGCUCCUGCCUGUCAUUACCAGAAACAGGCCAGGAGACGGAGUUUUCACACUUAUCAUUGGGAGAAUUGUAUGGGAGGGCUGAGGGCCUGGAUGCAUGGUGAAAUGUCAUUUUCCUUCAGCCCAGCAUCCUGUCACUGGGACAGGCAGCUGUUUCAUAGGACUGCUUCUGCUUAAGCACACCAGGUUCUCUUUUAAGGGGUUGUACAGUUUGUUUUCCAUUUUUCUCAUGAAGAUAUGAAUCUUACCAAUCUGUCAUCCUCAAGACUGUUCAUUUUUACAUUAAAACAAGUAAGAUUAGGCCUGGCACGGUGAUUCCCAUCUGUAAUCCCAGGAUUUGGGGAGGCCAAGGUGGGUAGACGGCUUGAGCUCAGGAGUUUGAGACCAGCUUGGGCAACAUGGUGAAACCCCAUCUCUAAAAAAAUACAAAAUUAGCUGAGUAUGGUGAUGAGCACCUGUAGUCCCCGCUACUGGGGAGGCUGAGGUAGGAGAAUCACCUGAGCCUGAGGAGGUCGAGGCUACAGUGAGCUGUGAUCACACCACUAUGACUCCAGCCUGGGUGACAAAGCGAGACCCUGUCUCAAAAAAACAAGCUUAGUGCCAGUGACCUGUCCUCAGAUGAAGUCCUGCUUUCCUCAGGAGGCUUCUGGAAGGCUGUAGUCUGAGGGUCUCGUGACAUGGUGUGUAGUUGGAAGCUUCUGGAAGGCUGUGGUCUGGGGGUCUCUUGUGACGUGUGUGAAAGAACACAUUCCUCCCUAUAUCAGAGCCUUGAGCCCGACACAUCACAUCCCCCCAUAUGCCUCCACUCCUGGGCCCGACA
rnacentral:lncRNA from 1 species